UCCGUUAUGGUGUAGUGGCUAACAUUAUCGCCUCUCAUUAGUAGUCUUCCACUGACCUAUGACGCGAUAGCCCAGGGUUCGAUUCCCUGUAACGGAA